UACGUAGGGUGCGAGCGUUGUCCGGAAUUAUUGGGCGUAAAGAGCUUGUAGGUGGCUCGUUGCGUCGGGAGUGAAAACCCGGAGCUCAACUCCGGGCCUGCAGUCGAUACGGGCGGACUAGAGUUCGGCAGGGGAGACUGGAAUUCCUGGUGUAGCGGUGAAAUGCGCAGAUAUCAGGAGGAACACCGGUGGCGAAGGCGGGUCUCUGGGCCGAUACUGACGCUGAGGAGCGAAAGCGUGGGGAGCGAACAGG
rnacentral:rRNA from 1 species